rnacentral:rRNA from 1 species
UACGUAGGGGGCAAGCGUUGUCCGGAUUCACUGGGUGUAAAGGGCGCGUAGGCUGUUAAAUAAGUCAGAGGUGAAAUCUCACAGCUCAACCGUGAAACUGCCUUUGAUACUGUUUAACUUGAGUAUGGAAGAGAGAGACGGAAUUCCAGGUGUAGUGGUGAAAUACGUAGAUAUCUGGAAGAACACCAGAGGCGGAGGCGGUCUCUUGGUCCAUAACUGACGCUGAGGAGCGAAAGCGUGGGGAGCGAACAGGAUUAGAUACCCU